ensembl:lncRNA LINC00539 long intergenic non-protein coding RNA 539
GGGCUGAGCAGGCCUGGAAGAAACAAGGCUGCUGGGCUGAGCUUGGGGCCAGCCGCUCAUUUCACCAAGCUGAGCUGUAAUCACAUCCCCAGGUAGCACUGUGCCUUCAGAAUAUGACUGAGCAGCAUUAUGUCUGCAGUGCUAAGCAGGUGUGAUCAAUAGAUGGAGAGCUGUGACCAGCUGGGCUGUGAUGCGGAGCCUGCAACCAAGCUGCCUGGGGGAAAUUCAGGAGGCCAGCCAUCGUCUUUAACCAGGGCAGCCCCGAGAGUGUCUGCAAGGGCUGCAUGCCCUGAGUAGAUCCUCGCAGAUGCUGAUCAGGGUGUCUUCUGGGCUCCACCUGGCACAGAAAAGCCAGCAAAGCUCCAGGGGCUUCCCUUCUUUCCUGGCAGAGAAAGAGCAGGCAGAUUCAGAGCCCCGUGAGGCUGUCUUGAGCUCCACCGGGAUCUAGGGAGAGCCAGCAGCACCACCAAGAUAUUUACGUUGUGAACUGGUAAAAUCUGAACUGCAGAAUAUCAAUUUCCAGACAUUCUUCCUAGAUGAUGCCGUCUGCCACGGAGACCAUGUAGAUGGAUUGAAUGGGGAUAUGAUGAGGAUGACCACCCCUGCAUUUGCUAAGUUCUUGGGAGUGGCAUCGAUCUCAGCCAUUCCACUGGAAUAGGGUCAGGAAACAAAACGUGAGGGCUCUACCAGCUGCUCAGUCUAUCCUUUCCAAUUGAGCACACUGGAACUGAGGAAGCAAAGACAGGAUAAUGGACCUUAACUAGUGGGCUGAAGGCAAUGAGGGGAUGUGAGGAUGCAUCUUGUGAAGGACAAAAGUCAUCCUGUAAGGAUUCAUGAGACCUGAGCAGCCAGCCAGCCCUGAAAUGGUUGGAACAGGAGAAAGAAGAAGAGCUCGACAGAUACCCUGCCUGGGCUGGCAGCUAGCUGCACCACAAGCUGGCCAGCUGACAGCGGGCACAUCCCUUCAUCACCCAGUGCCUUUCUUCCCUCUUGUGAAAAUGGAGAUAUGCUGAGAAGGUUACUUCAGCUCAUCCAGAGAAAGCUUCUUCAGCUAACUAGGCUGUAGAAAGGGCCUACAGCCUAAAUUUUCAAAAACAAGUUAAUGCCAGAAUAUAAACUCCGUGAAGUAACAGAUUGUGUCGGUUUCAUUCCUGCAUGUAUCCCUGGUGCCUAGACAGUGUCUGGCACACAGUAGGUGCUCAACAUUGACUGAAUGUGAGGGAAAAACCUAUGUAGUUCAAUACUAUGUAGACAAGAUCAUAAAUGAUCACUAUUUAAAUUGUGUGUGUUUUCCUUGACAUGAGUAACCAAGAGUCGGCUCCUUCAGGCUGAUAGAAAAUCCUGCUUCCUGGAAAUGAGCAAAUAGAAGAGAUAUCUGCAUUUCCAUGGUUGUUGCAGCUCUGUUCACAACAUCCAAGAUUAGGAAGCAACCCAAGUGUCCAUGAACAGAUGAAUGGACAAAGAAAAUGUGGUA